ACCCUUGGGUGAGGAAUACCGGCGAGAAAUCGCCGACAAUACCGCAUAGCCUUCUCGCGAGAGAAGGAAAGUCCUUCGGGACGCCUGAGGAUGGGCCUGCGCCUGAUUAGCUAGUUGGUGAGGUAAGAGCUCACCAAGGCGACGAUCAGUAGCUGGUCUGAGAGGAUGGUCAGCCACACUGGGAUUGAGAACGGCCCAGACUCCUACGGGGGGCAGCAGUGAGGAAUUUUCGUCAAUGGGGGCAACCCUGAACGAGCAACGCCGCGUGCAGGAAGACGCUUUUCGGAGUGUAAACUGCUUUUCUGAGGGACGAGAACGGACGGUACCUCAGGAAGAAGCCCCGGCUAACUACGUGCCAGCAGCCGCGGUAAUACGUAGGGGGCGAGCGUUGUCCGGAGUUACUGGGCGUAAAGGGCACGCAGGCGGUCAUGUAAGUCUGUUCUGACAGCUCCUGGCUCAACCGGGAGAGGCGAACGGAAACUGUAUGACUUGAGGACUUCAGAGGGACACGGAAUUCCGGGUGGAGUGGUGAAAUGCGUAGAGAUCCGGAGGAACACCAAAGGCGAAGGCAGUGUCCUGGGAAGUACCUGACGCUCAGGUGCGAAAGCCAGGGGAGCGAACGGGAUUAGAUACCCCGGUAGUCCUGGCCGUAAACGAUGACCACUAGAUGUGGGGGGUAUCGACCCCCUCCGUGUCGAAGUAAACACAAUAAGUGGUCCGCCUGGGGAGUACGGUCGCAAGAUUAAAACUCAAAGGAAUUGACGGGGACCCGCACAAGCAGCGG
rnacentral:rRNA from 1 species